UACGUAGGGUGCGAGCGUUGUCCGGAAUUAUUGGGCGUAAAGAGCUCGUAGGUGGCUUGUCACGUCGGGUGUGAAAGCUUGGGGCUUAACUCCAGGUCUGCAUUCGAUACGGGCUGGCUAGAGGUAGGUAGGGGAGAACGGAAUUCCUGGUGUAGCGGUGAAAUGCGCAGAUAUCAGGAGGAACACCGGUGGCGAAGGCGGUUCUCUGGGUCUUACCUGACGCUGAGGAGCGAAAGCGUGGGGAGCGAACAGG
rnacentral:rRNA from 1 species